ACGGCGUCAUUUGUCAACGGUCAAAUCAGUUCACCCGGUUCGGGUUUUUUUUUAUUUCUGCUCCGCCUUCGUUAUUGUUAUUAUUAUUUUGCCGUUGAUAACCCCAGACAUUCACGACUUCGCUGUAGGUGACUCUUUGCUCUUGGCUCGAUGUGUGCAUCCGGUAAAAGUCCACAAACACACACCCUGGAAAUGAUUAAUUGGAAGCCCACGGGAGUCACGUGGACGGGAAAGUUCAAGUAUCGAUUGUGAUUUUGAGUGCCAGGGAUGAGCGGAGGGGAAAGGCGCAGGGGGCGGACAAGAAGCGAAUCUCCCACAACUUCUAACUUUCAACUCCGAUUACCGGAUGCGGAUACACCUGCCAUGGAAACGAACGCCAGAAGCAGCCAAACCCAAGCCAAGCCAUGCGGACAGGUCAAAAAAAGGGCGCUCAACUCGCCGGUUUCCACUACACCACAAACAACAACUAGAUGCUGUGCUGGCCUUCCAAACACACACGCACGCACACACACAGACGGGCGGGGGUAUUGAAUGGAUCACCGGCUUUUUUGCUUUUGUUUUGCUUGUGCUGCGCUCUCGCUCGCACCCGCACUUUCCAGCCAGCGCACCGAUCAACGAAUGCUGUACGCGCCUGGAAAACAGGGCGUGUGUGUGCGGCGUGCAGCGGUGUGCGUGGGCACAGGUAGCCAUUUCCAGGCUUCCAGCAUCGAUUUUGCCUUUAAGUGCAAUAAAUGCCGAAUGCAAACUGCAAUUCAUAUCGCAGAAACAACAUUCAAUUCACCACGAAGCCGUUCACGCACUCACACACUGACGCACUCGCACACCUCUGCCCCGCUGCGAUCCGAUUUGUUUUUUUAUUUAUGCCGCGGCGAGUAAAUAAAAUAAACAAAACACACCGAGAACAUCACGCGACGGUCAAAUGAUAGCGAUAUUUACGGUGUUUACGACCCGUCUCACCUAUGUGGGUGUCCUCGAUGUGGGAAAUCAGAUCGCUCAAGCUCGGAAAUGUGAUGCCGCAGCCAUUGUAUUUGCAGACGUUGAUCAGGAAAACGGCCAUAAUAUAUAUCGUAUUGUCAUAUAUAUAUAUAUCACGUAUUCCGAGGCGAACGAAUGUGGCGAGUUAUGUAAAAAAAACAGCAACUAAGUCGGGGGCUGGUCAGUGUGGCCAGGUCAGCACUGCACCGAAACGUCCAUUUUCCAGGGCUGCAAUUUCAGCUUAGCGGCGACUCCCACCCACUUCCAAUGUGCUGUGGUGAGUUUAGGGGGUUAUGUGGCGUUUGAUCGGGCGAAUACUGUUCGUUGGUAAUUAAGCGAU